ensembl:lncRNA
AUGUCUGCCCCAGGUCCCUCGUCCACCUCAUCCCGCCCCCAGGCCUUGGAGGGUCAGAGAAGGGUUCAGAGCCUCGUGACGCAGCAGCAGGGGGCGGGGGCCCACGCCCUGGCCGUGUGUCUCGUCCGCCCCCCCGUCCCCAGGCUGCCCUGUGUAGCGUGGCUCGCGUGGUGUCUCCUCUCCCCGACCCGGUGGCUGGUCCUCACCCUGGCCCUCCCCACCCUCAGCCGCCCCUGCAGCCAGCUCCCCGUCCUUCACCCUUUCCCACCCCGCGAGCCCCCCAGCCCCCAGUGGCCAGGGCUCGUGGCUUCAGACACUGGGCAUUGCCCCUGCAGCCGGUGUCCCCGGUCCUGUGCCCGAGCCCCGCCCCCAUCACGGCCGAGGUUGCUGCCUGGUUACGGCCAGGCCAGGCCUUCAAUGCGGGCAGCUCUGGUUUCUGCCACCACUCAGCCCAUAGCUGGGUGCUUGUCGCGGUGCCUGGGCCCUGGUGACCGGGAUGAGGGAUGCCUCGAGGCUGCGGUGACAGCUGUCUGCACGGCUCUUCGGCCUCACCACGGCCCCGGGGAAGCAGAGGAGCCCCCAGGAGGGGCUGGGGUGGGGACCUCGGGAUGCAGGGGAGGGGCCAGGUCGGGCCAGGGCCACGCGCCUCCCUCUGUGAGCAUCCCCGGGGCCGCCUGCUCUCCAUCCAGUGACCUGUCACCUGGCUUGGGGCUGGGGCGCUGCACGGGGUGUCCCACGGAUGACCCCCCAGCCCCAGAGGCCCCGUGGGGGAGCGGCUCUCUACCGUGUGUGGGCCGCAGCUUCGCGGAGGCCCCACUGCCCUCCCCCGGCCUGGGGCUUGGCCGUGUGCUUUUGCUGGUCGGGGAGACGGGGCGUGAGGUGUGCCGUGACCCUCCUCGCAGGGACCCGCAGCUGUGGCUGCUUGGGCGCAGAACAGACCCCAGCCCUGAGCGGGACGGUGGUCGAGCCACCAGCACUAGACGGGCGCUUGCUGGCAGCUUCCGCAUCCUGGGGGCGUUUGUCGCGCGUCGGCAAGCGUCUGGGUGUCACAUGCUCUCCUGGGCAGGGUCUCCCCAUCGUGGAAGUGACCUACGUGCUGCCUCCUCAUCAUCCUUCCUGGAGGCUCCCAGGGGAGGACACGAGCCUCACCCCCCACCCAGUGGGUUGAAGGUCGUCCUGGGUGCAGACCCCGUGCCCCCUGAGCGGGAGCCAGGAGCUCCAUGCGAUGCUGCGUGCACAGCGGCAACACGCUGCCUCCCGCCGGCCCCCUGGGGGUGCGAGUCCUGGCACCGGGGGGCGGGGGGACCCCAGCCUGGCCUCACCCACAGCGGCCCCUCCCCGAGCCCCCGGCACACCCACCCUGCUUCUAAGGCACGUGUGGGGCAGCGGGCGGCAGGUGUGCUGAGGCCUCCACCCGGUGCCACCCCCCGAGGCUUGGUGGGUUUUGCCCUUUUCUGUGGGACUCCGCACCCGUGGCGAGCUGCUGACNNNNNNNNNNNNNNCCCCCCCCCGGUCGAUGACUUCAAAGUCCAUUCACCUGUUUCCUGA